rnacentral:rRNA from 1 species
CCUACGGGAGGCAGCAGUGGGGGAUAUUGCACAAUGGGGGAAACCCUGAUGCAGCGACGCCGCGUGGGUGAAGAAGCGCCUCGGCGCGUAAAGCCCUGUCAGCAGGGAAGAAAAUGACGGUACCUGAAGAAGAAGCCCCGGCUAACUUCGUGCCAGCAGCCGCGGUAAUACGAAGGGUGCGAGCGUUGUUCGGAAUUACUGGGCGUAAAGGGAGUGUAGGCGGAUAUGUAAGAUAGCGGUGAAAUGCCGGGGCUCAACCCCGGAACUGCCAUUAUGACUAUGUAUCUAGAGUAAUGGAGAGGAUAGCGGAAUACCCAGUGUAGAGGUGAAAUUCGUAGAUAUUGGGUAGAACACCGGUGGCGAAGGCGGCUAUCUGGCCAUUUACUGACGCUGAGGCUCGAAAGCAUGGGGAUCAAACAGGAUUAGAUACCCUUGUAGUC